rnacentral:rRNA from 1 species
UACGUAGGAGGCAAGCGUUGUCCGGAAUUACUGGGCGUAAAGAGCUCGUAGGUGGUUUGUCGCGUUGUUCGUGAAAACUCACAGCUUAACUGUGGGCGUGCGGGCGAUACGGGCAGACUUGAGUACUGCAGGGGAGACUGGAAUUCCUGGUGUAGCGGUGGAAUGCGCAGAUAUCAGGAGGAACACCGGUGGCGAAGGCGGGUCUCUGGGCAGUAACUGACGCUGAGGAGCGAAAGCGUGGGGAGCGAACAGG